UUAAAUUAUUCUUACAUUAUUCUGAUCUUUGUCUGAAUGCUAUUCUGUUUUUUGUCUAAAUGUUCGUAUGACAAUUUUGAAUUUUUCCUUAAAAGUCCGAAAUCCAGCAAAAAUUCAGACAUUUUCGUAAAUGUACAUUAUUUUAGCCAUUCAGACAUUAUUCAGAAAAAAAUAAGAAAAAAUAAGAAUGCUGGUCAGACAGAAUUCAGACGCAAUUUUUUCAUGAGGGAGCUCUUAAAUGAUGAUUUUUGCCAUUUUUUUGCAUUUUAGUCUAAUAUAUUGAUAACUAUGAAAGAUAGAUAGACACUUUAAAUAGCAAAAAUGGUAAGCAAGAAGAGAUCUGCAAAUAAGUCAAAGUAUGCCGAAAUUGUGAGUUGACUCUUUAUAGGAGUUUUUGCACUUAAAUGACAAUUUUUUUCACCCUUUCUUAUGUUUUGGGCAAACACUGAAUAUAGAGAUGAAAUGUAAACAGAAAAAAAAUAUCAGCAAUAGAAGAUCAACAAAACGAUUUUUGUCAUGAAUUAUAUUAUAGUGUACAAUGUUGAAGAGUGUCCAUUGUUGACAUAGACCUAGGUAAUGAAGGACACAGGCUCUUUAGAGCCUUUAGAUAUAUUAGCAAUGACACCAAUUAUAUUUGUUUUUAGUCACAUUGACAUGAGGUCAGUGUCUCUAUCAUACUAUGUGUUGAGAGGGG
rnacentral:lncRNA from 1 species